UUCUAAGCAAUCAAUAAAUAUUGGUUGGGCCAAUUCCCUUUUGAAGUUGGCUUUUUACUAUUGCUACUAAUAAAGACUGCUGCUAUCUGUUUAGUGAUAUGUAAAUACAUAUUUUACUUCAUAUUCUAACAUUCACCAGAAAAAUAAUGACUCAUAUAUCUCAUGAGCAUAAGGAAUUUAGUUAGCUGGUCAAAGAACUUGUGGCAGAGAUGUGGGAGCUCAGAAAAGGUAUGUUACUCUCUUAGAAGGAGGUAAACCACACACUGGCCAUUCUCACUAGAAGAGCAGAGAGCUGUGUUUGGUCUGCCCCGCUUUCUUGCUCAUAGAGAGGAGUUUUCCCACAUUCCAUUUCCCCACUUCCUUUAGAGCUCUUCUGUUAGAAUUGUAUCUGGUGAGUUUCUCCUCUCAAGCAACUCUUUAUUUUGGAGAACUGUUCUUUAUGGAACUUGUGUUGUUGCUUUUUGAGACAGUGUUUGUAUAGCCUGAUCAGUCCUGGAUCUCCCUUAGUAGACCAGGUCGGCAUGCCACUCACAGACAUUUGCCUGCCUCUGCCUCCCAAGUGCUGGGAUUAAAGAUAUGUUAUCACCACUUCUGACCCUCUGUAGUUCUUUAAUUGAAUUGUCUUUUUUUUUAAUCAAAUUUGUUUUUAAAUUAAUUAGAUAUCCCUUUGGCUAAAUGUUCUGUUUCAGACACGAUGUCUUAGUUUUAUCAAUUUUCUGUUACUUGUUAUUUUCAAAUUUGAUACUGUAAAAGGGCAUUGGAGAAAUGAAGUUCCCUUUUAUAACUUAAUUACUGUUGGUAUUAUUGGUAUUCAUAUGUUUUAAGUUUCAUGUGAAAAUGGGUGGUUUUAAUUUUACAAUUACAUGGUUAAUUUGCAUGCAGGAACAGAGUAGUUUCGCCUUCUUGAAAAAGGCAGAUUCCUCUGUGGCACAUGGCCUGCCCAUUUGUUCCCCUCUCUGUCUUUUUCUUUAAAAAACAAACAAACAAAAAAAACCAAAACAAUUGUUUGAAGACUGCUUCUUCUCUAUGUGGCCCAGGUAGGCAUUAGACUAGAAUCCUCCUGAGUGUGCCCCUUGUGUUAGGAUUAUGCUGUGCCAGCUAUUCUCAGCUCUUUGUUCAGAGCAUUUCAGUCUGUCAUGGUGGGGAAGGCAUGGCGGAUGGGUUGGCAUGGAGCAGUGAGAGUUUAGAGUGAGACCUAUUUAGAAGGAGAAACAGCUCCACUGUAACCUUCAAGGCCAGUCAGUCCCCAGUAGUAUACCAGCACUGUUUGUAAAAGUUCUACACUCAAGCCUGCAUGUGAGCCUGUGGUGUGGCUCAGACUCAAACCCUAACAUGAUCUUAGUUAUAAACAAAGAAAAAAAAUAAGAAUAGUAGGUUUAAGUGUUAGAGGUGUAAGCAACAUAUAGUUGUUUCAGUGUUCAAAGUCUCAGGAUACUGAAUGUUGAGGUGACUUUUAAAUCUUCAGGACAGUAAACAUGAAUUUCACAUUUACUGUGUUUGCAAUUGGUUGUUAUAUGUGGAAGUGAAUGAACACCUGAAAAUCAGUAACAAGUUAACAAACAUGAUUGUCAAGAAAGAAAAACUUUCAACUUUCUUAAUGUAGAGAGAAAAUAUAGAUGCCUUUUGUUUUCUUUUUAAAAGUUUAAUUUUAAAUGAGCGUUGGUGCUUUGCCUUCAUGUAUGUCUGUGGGGGUGUUGGUUCCUCUGGAACUGGAGUCAUAGACAGUUGUGAGCUGCCAUGUGUAUGCUGACAAUUGAACCGGAGUCCUCUGGAAGAACAGCCAGUACUUUUAACUACUGAGCCAUCUCUUCAGCCUCCCUUCUUGUUUCUUAAAGGUUCUUUUAUUUAUUCAUUAUGUAUACAUGUGUGCACCAUGUGCAUAUAAGAGCCUUCAGAGGCCAGAAGAUAUCAGAUCUAGAGCUGGAGUUACUGGUAGCUUCAAAUUACCAUUUGGGUACUGGAAACUGAACCCAGGUCCUCUGUAAGAGCAGCAAGCAUACUUAACUGUUGAGUCAUCUCUCUAGCACUAAGCUCAUGUUUCUUAAGUGAACAAUAAUAAUACUUAAGUCCGACUCUCAAUAAUUGUUAAGUCUCUGCUCUCAAGAGUAUCAAAGAUGAAGAAAUAGGCUUAAAUUGCACCAAGUAUUUAAAUUUUAUAAUAAGAGAAAAUUCUUGACUGCUAAAGUGACUGACCAUAGCAGGGUACCAGUACGUGUUUGGCAGCAUCUCCCUUUUGAAACUUCGUACUGUAUUUGAUGGUCACUCAUUGUGACCAUCAAAGGUUAGAAAACAGUUGAUUACAAAAGUGAAGCAUCAGAAGAAAUGUUGGAAACUAAAAAUCUAAAUAACAGUUCAUUUUAUACAUUUCUGUAUUUUAGAGUUUCAGCUAUGAACUUAGUUCUUUAGGAUUUUGUUGAUACAAAUGUAUAUUGUACAGUUUGCAAGAAGAGUUUUAUUAUCUUAAAGUCAGGGUGCAUGUGUGAGAGAGAGGAGGGGAUGGAGUGGGGUGGGGGAUGAGACAUAUAGGCAGACAGAAUGAGAGAAUGAGAAUUGUUAAAGAAAAUGAUUUGACGGUUUGGCCUGAAGUAACGUGUUUUAUUUUUGUUAUAUGUGGAUGUGAGUGAACACCUGAGAAUCAGUGACAAGUUAAUAAACAUAAUUGUGAUGAUUAUAGGUAGAUCUUUCAAGGAUAAAUUGUUCAUUUUAGACAGGCAGUUCAUAUAUAUUUUUACUUAUACAUUUAUGAGCAUCUCUUCUGCUAACCUUGUUUUUCAGAGUAGGGGAAGCACACUUCAUUUUAGUGUUUCUUGUUCUUAACCUUGCAUUUCUCAUGUGACGGUUAUAUAUUAAAUGUUUACUAAAUCAAAACGUAAUUUUAAUAUCCAAAACAUGAACAUUUUUGAAUUGCCAGUUUCUUUUAAGGGUAUAUUAAGGGUUCCUUAGCCAAACGUACUAACCUACUGAACCAUUCUUAUUUACAUUAGUUUUGCUGUGAAUUUUCUGUCAUUUUUUUGUACUUGACCCCAAAUUUAAAGCCCCCAAAGGAAAAAGAAUUGUGCUGCAUUUUAUGUAAGGAUGAAAAGCUUCAAGUUCAAAGAUAGGCAGCAUAGGACAGAAGUUAGUUCUCCCACUUCAGCAAUAUAUUAUUCUACCCUGUAUUAGAGAAAGCUCUUUAAGAAAAUUCAGGGGGUGCUCAUGGUGGCCUGUGCUUUAACCCCAGUGUUUGGGAGGCAGAGACUGGUGAAUCUCAGUUUCAAGCCAGCCUGGUCUACAUAGUGAGUUAGGGAAAG
rnacentral:lncRNA from 1 species